rnacentral:rRNA from 1 species
GACGAACGCUGGCGGCGUGCUUAACACAUGCAAGUCGAACGGAAAGGCCCUGCUUUUGUGGGGUGCUCGAGUGGCGAACGGGUGAGUAACACGUGAGUAACCUGCCCUUGACUUUGGGAUAACUUCAGGAAACUGGGGCUAAUACCGGAUAGGAGCUCCUGCUGCAUGGUGGGGGUGGGAAAGUUUCGGCGGUUGGGGAUGGACUCGCGGCUUAUCAGCUUGUUGGUGGGGUAGUGGCUUACCAAGGCUUUGACGGUUAGCCGGCCUGAGAGGGUGACCGGCCACAUUGGGACUGAGAUACGGCCCAGACUCCUACGGGAGGCAGCAGUGGGGAAUAUUGCACAAUGGGCGGAAGCCUGAUGCAGCAACGCCGCGUGCGGGAUGACGGCCUUCGGGUUGUAAACCGCUUUCGCCUGUGACGAAGCGUGAGUGACGGUAAUGGGUAAAGAAGCACCGGCUAACUACGUG